AACGAACGCUGGCGGCAUGCCUAACACAUGCAAGUCGAACGAAGCCUUCGGGCUUAGUGGCGCACGGGUGCGUAACGCGUGGGAAUCUGCCCUUUGGUUCGGAAUAACAGUUGGAAACGACUGCUAAUACCGGAUGAUGACGAAAGUCCAAAGAUUUAUCGCCAGAGGAUGAGCCCGCGUAGGAUUAGCUAGUUGGUGUGGUAAAGGCGCACCAAGGCGACGAUCCUUAGCUGGUCUGAGAGGAUGAUCAGCCACACUGGGACUGAGACACGGCCCAGACUCCUACGGGAGGCAGCAGUGGGGAAUAUUGGACAAUGGGCGAAAGCCUGAUCCAGCAAUGCCGCGUGAGUGAUGAAGGCCCUAGGGUUGUAAAGCUCUUUUACCCGGGAUGAUAAUGACGGUACCGGGGGAAUAAGCCCCGGCUAACUCCGUGCCAGCCGCCGCAGUAA
rnacentral:rRNA from 1 species